AUCAAAUUGUAUACAUUAAAUAUGCACAAUGUUUUGUAUAUCAAUUAAAUUACAUCAGAGGAGUAAAGAUACCAAAUUCCAGCCUGUUGCCACUGGCAAGACCUCUUGUCAUUCUAGGUUGUUGUAAUGGAAUACUGGUCACUAUAGCAAUACUCCAUCACUAGCCGAGCUCUUUAUUGACAGCACUUACAUUCUUUGAAGGAAAAUGAUCUCACUCUUUCACGGGCAAUAGUAGCCGAAAGGAUUCCAGACUGAGACUAGAGUUCAGUUUCACCACCAUGUUGGGCUUCUGUUCCCUGGAGCACAGCACUGGGUCGAAGGCGGCUGAAUCUGGAAGAGAUUUUGACGUCACUCACGGUAUGAGGCAACCACUCCACCCCCAAGAUCUUCACAACAACCCUAGGAAGCAGACAUUGUCAUCCCAAUCCUACUACUGAGGCACCUGGAGCUCAACAAAGUUAUGACUUGCCCAAGGGCACACCACUAAAAAAUGGAGGAGUAAGAACUUCAUCCCAUGUCAGGCUAACUCCAUCCUCCUAGGACCUUUUCCAUUGGGCCACAAAUUAUAUGAACUUUUAAUUUCAAGUUUCUGGUAACAUUGUGACUCACUGAAUUAUUCUUAACCUCCCACAUUCUGGGAUCUUUUUUCCCUAGACAUCAAGAAUCAGCUCUUAAGCAUUAUCACUGUAUCGCCCAGUACCUAGUAUAGUGCCUGGCUAGUCUGAAGCCCCAGUAAACCAAUGUCGAAUGAAUGAAGAAAUGUAUGUGUGUCCAAGUCAAUUGGGAAGAGAUAGAACAACUGUCUCCUACCUAUUAAGGCUUUAUUUAAACAGCAAGAAUAAAA
rnacentral:lncRNA from 1 species